GAGGCGGCGAGCGGACCGAGUGGUUGGGGUGUUUCCUUAACCGAUAUUCACAACGUGUGGCGGGCAACGGCUCCUCCUACCACAACUCUAUUAAAUCCCAAUUACCAAAACCCUCCAAAAAUUAAAUCAUAAAUCCCCAAAAUUCCAAAACUAAAACCCCCAGAAAUUAUAUAAGCGAACGGAUUAUUACCCAGAAAAAAUAAUUUAAUUUCACAGCGGUCCACUCUCUCAUCAGUCUCAGAGGCCAUGACUCCGCAACUCCAAGCUCCGUCGUUCGCCGCCGGCAUUUCGUCCUUCGUUUCUCCUCUCAACCGCUCCACGCGCCGCCCUGUAAUCCGAGCUAAAGCGGAGCCGUCAGAUAAGUCUGUUGAAAUCAUGAGGAAGUUCUCUGAGCAGUAUGCUCGCAAGUCCGGAACAUAUUUCUGUGUCGAUAAGGGAGUUACUUCUGUUGUUAUCAAGGGAUUGGCAGACCAUAAAGAUUCGUUGGGCGCACCACUCUGCCCUUGUCGGCAUUAUGAUGAUAAACCUGCCGAGGCAGGCCAAGGCUUUUGGAACUGCCCAUGUGUUCCCAUGAGAGAGAGGAAGGAAUGCCACUGCAUGCUCUUUCUCACUCCUGACAAUGAUUUUGCCGGACCGGAACAGACCAUCUCCUUGGAAGAGAUCAGAGAAUCGACAGCAAACAUGUAACAAGCUUUGAGUGUGUAUUGUAAGUUAUGUGUAAACAGUCCACUUCUGUAUUUGCAAAAAAAAAAAAAGAGGGCUCAUCUUUUGAAUCCAAUUUUUCGAGAGAAAUAAUUUCCGUACUCUUUUUCUCCUUGAUGAUCUUUUGUUUUAUUCAA